GAUGGCUGGUGCCCGCUAGGAAACCAAAUCCCACCCCACUCAUUCUAAUGAUCCAAUCCUCACUAUUCAUUCCAAAGCAUCCCAUGCGCCCCCAGUUGCUGCCGCUUUCAGUGCUGCCCUCCGCUGUUAUGUCCCUCUCACCCCCCUCCUUUUUCCCAUCUCUCUCUCUCUCCUCCCACCUUCUCCUCCUCUUCUUGGUGUAAUAACACCCCAAUCCUGGCCCUCCUCCCAAGGCCUCACCUUCUUCCUCUUCCAUCUCUCGAUUUCCUAAACUCUACCAUCCAUCUUAUUAACCUCCUGAUUUAGCUUACAAGUAUCCACUUCUCUUUCCUUCACGGAUAGAGAAAAAACACAGAACCGACCAACAGCUAUAUAUUUAUAUACAUAUAUAUAUCAGAGAUAGAAUAGACUUGAUGGACUUCACGAAUCAAGAUGAAGACCUAGGGAUGCCCAGCUCUUUGGGUUACAACCACCCUCCUCCCAUCCGUGGAUCCGCCUUCUCCAAGCCCUCCCCCUCCCCCUCCCCCUCCCCC
rnacentral:lncRNA from 1 species